GAUGAACGCUAGCGGCAGGCCUAAUACAUGCAAGUCGAGGGGCAGCGGGGUAGCAAUACUGCCGGCGACCGGCGCACGGGUGCGUAACACGUAUGCAACCUACCUUAAACUGGGAGAUAGCCCGGGGAAACUCGGAUUAAUACCCCAUAAUACAUUGGUUCACAUGAAUUGAUUGUUAAAGAUUUAUCGGUUUAAGAUGGGCAUGCGUUCGAUUAGCUAGUUGGUAAGGUAACGGCUUACCAAGGCUACGAUGGAUAGGGGGUCUGAGAGGAUGACACCCGCCGGUGGUACUGAGAUACGGACCAGACUCCUACGCGAGGCAGCAGUAGGGAAUAUUCGCCAAUGGAGGCAACUCUCAACUAGCCAUGCCGAGUGUAGGAGGAAGGCUUUCUGCGUUCUAAACGCCUUUUGAUUGGGCACAAAUGACACUUGCGAGAGUAGCUGAGUGUACCAAUAGCAUAAGCCACGGCUAAGUACGUGCCAGCCGCCGCAGUAA
rnacentral:rRNA from 1 species